UAGGGAAUAUUAGAAAUGGACGAAAGCCUGAUCUAACAACACCGCGUGUGCGAAGAAGGCCUUCGGGUUGUAAAGCACUUUUUGGAAGGAUUAGGAAGGAAUGUACUUCCAGAAUAAGUCUCGGCUAACUACGUGCUAGCAGCCGCGGUAACACGUAGGAGGCAAACGUUAUCCGGAUUUACUGGGCGUAAAGCGCGUGUAGGUGGUUCUGUAAGUAGGGCGUGAAAGCUCCUGGCUCAACUGGGAGAGGCCGUUCUAAACUGCAGAGCUAGAGGAUGGUAGAGGGAGGUGGAAUUCCGGGUGUAGCGGUGGAAUGCGCAGAUAUCCGGAGGAACACCAGUGGCGAAAGCGGCCUCCUGGACCAUUCCUGACACUCAGACGCGAAAGCUAGGGUAGCAAACG
rnacentral:rRNA from 1 species